rnacentral:rRNA from 1 species
UCGGACCGGGAGGGCCUCGCGGCCUAUCAGCUUGUUGGUGAGGUAACGGCUCACCAAGGCAUCGACGGGUAGCUGGUCUGAGAGGAUGAUCAGCCACACUGGGACUGAGACACGGCCCAG